rnacentral:rRNA from 1 species
UACAGGCGGUAUUUAGCGGCGGACGGGUGAGUAACACGUGAGCAACCUGCCUUUUGACUGGGGAAUAACAUUGGGAAACCAGUGCUAAUACCGCAUAACGUCCAUGGGGGACAUCCCUUGUGGACUAAAGGAGAAAUCCGGCAGAAGAUGGGCUCGCGUCCGAUUAGUUAGUUGGCGGGUAACGGCCCACCAAGACCGCGAUCGGUAGCCGAACUGAGAGGUUGAUCGGCCACAUUGGGACUGAGACACGGCCCAGACUCCUACGGGAGGCAGCAGUGGGGAAUAUUGGGCAAUGGGGGAAACCCUGAACCCCCAGCAACGCCGCGUGAAGGACGAAGGCCUUCGGGUUGUAAACUUCUUUGAUCAGGGACGAAAGCAAUGACGGUACCUGAAGAACAAGCCACGGCUAACUACGUGCCAGCAGCCGC